ACUGGUGAUUGGCAGCUUUAUCAUGACCACAUCCCUGCUCAUUCAUCAUGACUCAUGCAGAGAUUUUUGGGAAACAUCAAAUUACCCAGGUGACUCAGACCUCCUAUAGCCUAGAUUUGGUGCCCUGUGACUUCUGGCUUUUCCCAAAUCUAAAAUCACUUUUGAAAGGGAAGAGAUUUUAGAAUGUUGACGAGAUUCAGGAAAAUUCAACAGAGCAGCUGA